UUGUCGAUUCCUGCAAAAUGCAGAACAACCCGCGAACUAGUUUGCCUGCCAACGUCCCGCCGCGCGCGGGAACGGUGCGGGGCGCGUCGGAGCUGCGAACCGCGCUUGCGCGUUUUGAUGCCUCGCGUGCCUCGCGCCCCCUAACGAACCCCGACGUCGAGUUGCGUCAAGGAAUCUUGAACUUAGAACGCGGCUCCCCUGCCCCGAUUUCGGGACCCAGGGGUUCCUGCGAACUGAACACAUCAAACGACUCUCGACAACGGAUAUCUCGGCUCUCGCAUCGAUGAAGAACGUAGUGAAAUGCGAUACUUGGUGUGAAUUGCAGAAUCCCGUGAACCAUCGAGUUUUUGAACGCAAGUUGCGCCCGAAGCCUUCUGGCCGAGGGCACGUCUGCCUGGGCGUCACGCAUCGUAGCCCCCCGCACCACAAAAAAGAAAAAGAAAAACAAUGCCUCGCUGCUCGAAGUGGACACUGGCUCGCGCCUCCUACUUCGAAUCGGGGUUUUGUUGGCCUUUUGGGUGGUGGUCGGGGAGGCGACGUUGGCCUCCCGUGCGGGUAACCUCGCGGUUGGUCUAAAUUCGAGUCCUCGGCGUCUUGCGGCGCGAUCGACGGUGGUUGCAGCAAUGCCCUCGACGAAUUACGUUGCGCCCGCGAGACGCGCGAUCGGGAACUCCUGGUCGACCCUAAUGCGCCGACUCGCUGGACAGCACCAGCGAGAGGACGUUAUCGAAGCGACCCC
rnacentral:rRNA from 1 species